rnacentral:rRNA from 1 species
GAAAUUCCAAUCGAACUUGGAGAUAGCUGGUUCUCUCCGAAAUAGCUUUAGGGCUAGCCUCGAGGUAAAGAGUCAUGGAGGUAGAGCACUGUUUGGACUAGGGGCCCUUCUCGGGUUACCGAAUUCAGAUAAACUCCGAAUGCCAUGUACUUAUACUCGGGAGUCAGACUGCGAGUGAUAAGAUCCGUAGUCGAAAGGGAAACAGCCCAGACCACCAGUUAAGGUCCCCAAAUAUAUGUUAAGUGGAAAAGGAUGUGGGGUUGCUUAGACAACCAGGAUGUUGGCUUAGAAGCAGCCACCAUUGAAAGAGUGCGUAAUAGCUCACUGGUCGAGUGACCCCGCGCCGAAAAUGUACCGGGGCUAAACAUAUUACCGAAACUGUGGAUGAACCUCUUUAGAGGUUCGUGGUAGGAGAGCGUUCUAAGGGCGGUGAAGUCAGACCGGAAGGACUGGUGGAGCGCUUAGAAGUGAGAAUGCCGGUAUGAGUAGCGAAAGAAGGGUGAGAAUCCCUUCCACCGAAUAUCUAAGGUUUCCUGAGGAAGGCUCGUCCGCUCAGGGUUAGUCGGGACCUAAGCCGAGGCCGAUAGGCGUAGGCGAUGGACAACAGGUAGAGAUUCCUGUACCAGUGCUAAUUGUUUAACCGAUGGGGUGACACAGAAGGAUAGGGAAUCGCACGAAUGGAAAUGUGCGUCCAAGCAGUGAGUGUGAGAAGUAGGCAAAUCCGCUUCUCGCGAAGCAUGAGCUGUGAUGGGGAAGGAAAUUAAGUACGGAAGUUCCUGAUUUCACGCUGUCAAGAAAAGCCUCUAGGAAGAGUAGUACUGCCCGUACCGCAAACCGACACAGGUAGAUGAGGAGAGAAUCCUAAGGUGAGCGAGAGAACUCUCGUUAAGGAACUCGGCAAAAUGACCCCGUAACUUCGGGAGAAGGGGUGCUCUAUUAGGGUGCAAGCCCGAGAGAGCCGCAGUGAAUAGGCCCAGGCGACUGUUUAGCAAAAACACAGGUCUCUGCAAAACCGUAAGGUGACGUAUAGGGGCUGACGCCUGCCCGGUGCUGGAAGGUUAAGAGGAGUGCUUAGCUUCGGCGAAGGUACGAAUUGAAGCCCCAGUAAACGGCGGCCGUAACUAUAACGGUCCUAAGGUAGCGAAAUUCCUUGUCGGGUAAGUUCCGACCCGCACGAAAGGCGCAACGAUCUGGGCACUGUCUCAACGAGAGACUCGGUGAAAUUAUAGUACCUGUGAAGAUGCAGGUUACCCGCGACAGGACGGAAAGACCCCGUGGAGCUUUACUGCAACCUGAUAUGGAAUGUUUGUACCGCUUGUACAGGAUAGGUAGGAGCCGAAGAGACGUGUGCGCUAGCAUACGAGGAGGCAAUGGUGGGAUACUACCCUGGCUGUAUGACCAUUCUAACCCGCCACGCUUAGCGCGUGGGGAGACAGUGUCAGGUGGGCAGUUUGACUGGGGCGGUCGCCUCCUAAAGAGUAACGGAGGCGCCCAAAGGUUCCCUCAGAAUGGAUGGAAAUCAUUCGCAGAGUGUAAAGGCACAAGGGAGCUUGACUGCGAGACUGACAAGUCGAGCAGGGACGAAAGUCGGGCUUAGUGAUCCGGUGGUUCCGCAUGGAAGGGCCAUCGCUCAACGGAUAAAAGCUACCCCGGGGAUAACAGGCUUAUCUCCCCCAAGAGUCCACAUCGACGGGGAGGUUUGGCACCUCGAUGUCGGCUCGUCGCAUCCUGGGGCUGUAGUCGGUCCCAAGGGUUGGGCUGUUCGCCCAUUAAAGCGGCACGCGAGCUGGGUUCAGAACGUCGUGAGACAGUUCGGUCCCUAUCCGUCGCGGGCGCAGGAAAUUUGAGAGGAGCUGUCCUUAGUACGAGAGGACCGGGAUGGACACACCGCUGGUGUACCAGUUGUUCCGCCAGGAGCAUCGCUGGGUAGCUAUGUGUGGCAGGGAUAAACGCUGAAAGCAUCUAAGCGUGAAGCCCCCCUCAAGAUGAGAUUUCCCAUUUCUUCGGAAAGUAAGAUCCCUGAAAGAUGAUCAGGUAGAUAGGUUUGGAGUGGAAGUGUAGCGAUACAUGGAGCGGACAAAUACUAAUCGAUCGAGGACUUAACCAAAA